rnacentral:rRNA from 1 species
AACGAACGCUGGCGGCAGGCUUAACACAUGCAAGUCGAACGGGUGCGAGCAAUCGCAUCAGUGGCAGACGGGUGAGUAACACGUGGGAACCUUCCUAGAGGUACGGAACAACGCAGGGAAACUUGUGCUAAUACCGUAUACGCUCGAGAGAGGAAAGAUUUAUCGCCUUUAGACGGGCCCGCGUCGGAUUAGCUAGUUGGUGAGGUAACGGCUCACCAAGGCGACGAUCCGUAGCUGAUCUGAGAGGAUGAUCAGCCACACUGGAACUGAGACACGGUCCAGACUCCUACGGGAAGCAGCAGUGGGGAAUCUUGGACAAUGGGCGCAAGCCUGAUCCAGCCAUGCCGCGUGAGUGAAGAAGGCCUUCGGGUUGUAAAGCUCUUUUGUCAGGGACGAUAAUGACGGUAUCUGAAGAAUAAGCCCCGGCAAACUUCGUGCCAGCAGCCGCAGUAA